rnacentral:tRNA from 1 species
GCCGCUGUGGUGGAAUUGGUAGACACGUGGCACUCAAAAUGCCAUGAGCGCAAGCUCAUGUCGGUUCAAGUCCGACCAGCGGCA